UGAAUACGAGACGCUAAGGCGUCGAAGUAGUGUAUGUCAUACUUCCAGGAAAAGCUUGCACUGUCAUAGAUAAAAAACGCCUGUACCAUAACCGACACAGGUGGGUAGGUAGAGUAUACUAAGGGGCGCGAGAUAACUCUCUCUAAGGAACUCGGCAAAAUAACUCCGUAACUUCGGGAGAAGGAGUGCCUUAUUCGUAAGGUUGCAAUAACAAGAUCCAAGCAACUGUUUAUCAAAAACACAGGUCUCCGCUAAGUCGUAAGACGAUGUAUGGGGGCUGACGCCUGCCCAGUGCCAGAAGGUUAAAGAAGUUGGUUAGCAAUUGCGAAGCUGAUAACUGAAGCCCUGGUGAACGGCGGCCGUAACUAUAACGGUCCUAAGGUAGCGAAAUUCCUUGUCGGGUAAGUUCCGACCCGCACGAAAGGCGUAAUGAUUUGGAUACUGUCUCGGAGAGGGGCUCGGUGAAAUAGACUUGUCUGUGAAGAUGCGGACUACCUGCACCAGGACAGAAAGACCCUAUGAAGCUUUACUGUAACUUGAAAUUGAAAUUGGACUUUAUUCGCGCAGUAUAGGUGGGAGGCGUUGAUUAUAAUCUUGUGGGAUUAUUGGAGCCAUCAGUGAGAUACCACUCUUGUAAUGUUAGAUUUCUAACUUUGAAUCAUUAUCUGGUCAAAGAACAGUUUCAGGCGGGCAGUUUGACUGGGGCGGUCGCCUCCUAAACGGUAACGGAGGCGUACAAAGGUUUCCUCUGAACGGUUAGAAAUCGUAUCUAGAGUGUAAAGGCAUAAGGAAGCUUGACUGUGAGACCUACAAGUCGAGCAGGGACGAAAGUCGGUCUUAGUGAUCUGACGGUACUGAGUGGAAAGGCCGUCACUCAACGGAUAAAAGUUACUCUAGGAUAACAGGCUGAUCUCCCCCAAGAGUUCACAUCGACGGGGAGGUUUGGCACCUCGAUGUCGGCUCAUCGCAUCCUGGGGCGGUAGUACGUCCCAAGGGUUGGGCUGUUCGCCCAUGAAAGCGGUACGCGAGCUGGGUUCAGAACGUCGUGAGACAGUUCGGUCCAUAUCCGGUGUAUGCGUUAGAAUAUUGAGAGGAGCCUUCUUUAGUACGAGAGGACCGAGAAGGACAUACCUCUGGUGUACCAGUUAUCGUGCCAACGGUAAACGCUGGGUAGCUAUGUAUGGAGUGGAUAACCGCUGAAAGCAUCUAAGUGGGAAGCCCACCUCAAGAUAAGUAUUCUCAGC
rnacentral:rRNA from 1 species